rnacentral:rRNA from 1 species
UACGUAGGUCCCGAGCGUUAUCCGGAUUUAUUGGGCGUAAAGCGAGCGCAGGCGGUUGGAUAAGUCUGAAGUUAAAGGCUGUGGCUCAACCAUAGUAUGCUUUGGAAACUGUUCAACUUGAGUGCAGAAGGGGAGAGUGGAAUUCCAUGUGUAGCGGUGGAAUGCGUAGAUAUAUGGAGGAACACCGGUGGUGAAAGCGGCUCUCUGGUCUGUAACUGACGCUGAGGCUCGAAAGCGUGGGUAGCGAACAGG